rfam:Candidate divison MSBL1 archaeon SCGC-AAA259O05 AAA259O05_Contig_128, whole genome shotgun sequence.
GGGCCCGUAGCUUAGUCCGGUUAGAGCGCCCGGCUCAUAGGGAAUAUUCCUGAGAAACCGGGUGGUCGAGGGUUCGAAUCCCUCCGGGCCCA